rnacentral:rRNA from 1 species
CAGUCGCCACGGGAAUACGAAGGGGGCUAGCGUUGCUCGGAAUGACUGGGCGUAAAGGGCGCGUAGGCGGAUUACGCAGUCAGAUGUGAAAUUCCUGGGCUUAACCUGGGGGCUGCAUUUGAGACGCGUAGUCUAGAGUGUGAAAGAGGGUCGUGGAAUUCCCAGUGUAGAGGUGAAAUUCGUAGAUAUUGGGAAGAACACCGGUGGCGAAGGCGGCGACCUGGUUCUUGACUGACGCUGAGGCGCGAAAGCGUGGGGAGCAAACAGGAUUAGAUACCCGCGUAGUCCCUGUCUCUUAUAC